AGAUUGAACGCUGGCGGCAGGCCUAACACAUGCAAGUCGAGCGGUAGAGAGGUGCUUGCAUCUCUUGAGAGCGGCGGACGGGUGAGUAAUGCCUAGGAAUCUGCCUAGUGGUGGGGGAUAACGUUCGGAAACGGACGCUAAUACCGCAUACGUCCUACGGGAGAAAGCGGGGGACCUUCGGGCCUCGCGCCAUUAGAUGAGCCUAGGUCGGAUUAGCUAGUUGGUGAGUAAUGGCUCACCAAGGCGACGAUCCGUAACUGGUCUGAGAGGAUGAUCAGUCACACUGGAACUGAGACACGGUCCAGACUCCUACGGGAGGCAGCAGUGGGGAAUAUUGGACAAUGGGCGAAAGCCUGAUCCAGCCAUGCCGCGUGUGUGAAGAAGGUCUCGGAUUGAAAGCACUUUAAGUGGUGGAGGGUUGUAACCUAAUACGUUGCAACUUUGACGUUACGACAAGAAUAAGACACCGACUAACUUCGUGACCAGUACGCCGUA
rnacentral:rRNA from 1 species